AACGAACGCUGGCGGCAUGCCUAACACAUGCAAGUCGAACGAGACCUUCGGGUCUAGUGGCGCACGGGUGCGUAACGCGUGGGAACCUGCCCUUAGGUUCGGAAUAACUCCCCGAAAGGGGUGCUAAUACCGGAUAAAGUCUUCGGACCAAAGAUUUAUCGCCUUUGGAUGGGCCCGCGUUGGAUUAGCUAGUUGGUAGGGUAAAAGCCUACCAAGGCGACGAUCCAUAGCUGGUCUGAGAGGAUGAUCAGCCACACUGGGACUGAGACACGGCCCAGACUCCUACGGGAGGAAGCAGUGGGGAAUAUUGGACAAUGGGCGAAAGACUGAUCCAGCAAUGCCGCGUGAGUGAUGAAGGCCUUAGGGUUGUAAAGCUCUUUUACCCGGGAUGAUAAUGACAGUACCGGGAGAAUAAGCUCCGGCUAACUCCGUG
rnacentral:rRNA from 1 species